GUGGGGAAUAUUGGGCAAUGGGGGAAACCCUGACCCAGCAACGCCGCGUGAAGGAAGAAGGCUUUCGGGUUGUAAACUUCUUUUACCAGGGAAAAACACAAUGAUGGUACCUGGAGAAAAAGCUACGGCUAACUACGUGCCAGCAGCCGCGGUAAUACGUAGGUGGCAAGCGUUGUCCGGAAUUACUGGGUGUAAAGGGCGUGUAGGCGGAACUACAAGUCAGGGGUGAAAACUAUGGGCUUAACCCAUAGCCUGCCUUUGAAACUGUAGUCCUUGAGUGCUGGAACAGCAAUUGUAAUUCCUAGUGUAGCGGUGAAAUGCGUAGAUAUUAGGAGGAACACCAGUGGCGAAGGCGAAUUGCUGGACAGUAACUGACGCUGAGGCGCGAAAGCGUGGGGAGCAAACAGGAUUAGAUACCCGGGUAGUCC
rnacentral:rRNA from 1 species